rnacentral:ncRNA from 2 species
AGCCGCGAUGGGGAUGGAGUUCCCCCGAAACUGCCCGCAAGGGCUGAUGACUCCUACCGCAAC